rnacentral:rRNA from 1 species
AUACGGCCAUACCAUGCUGAAUAUACCGGUUCUCUUUAGAUCACCGAAGUCAAGCAUCAUUCGGCGCGGUCAGUACUUGGGUGGGUGACCACCUGGGAACACCGCGUGCCGUU